rnacentral:rRNA from 1 species
AACGGCCAUACCAUGCUGAAUAUACCGGUUCUCGUUAGAUCACCGAAGUCAAGCAUCAUUGGGCGUGGUCAGUACUUGGGAGGGUGACCACCUGGGAACACCGCGUGCAGU